GAUGAACGCUAGCUACAGGCUUAACACAUGCAAGUCGAGGGGCAGCGGUAUCGAAAGCUUGCUUUCGGUAGCCGGCGACCGGCGCACGGGUGAGUAACGCGUAUCGAACCUGCCUCAUACUCGGGAAUAGCCUUGCGAAAGUAAGAUUAAUGCCCGGUGUUUUCAGAGUCCCGCAUGAGGCUUUGAACAAAGAUUUAUCGGUAUGAGAUGGCGAUGCGUCCCAUUAGCUUGUUGGCGGGGUAACGGACCACCAAGGCAUCGAUGGGUAGGGGUUCUGAGAGGAAGGUCCCCCACAUUGGAACUGAGACACGGUCCAAACUCCUACGGGAGGCAGCAGUGAGGAAUAUUGGUCAAUGGGCGGAAGCCUGAACCAGCCAAGUAGCGUGCAGGAAGACGGCCCUCCGGGUUGUAAACUGCUUUUAGUUGGGAAUAAAACGGGGCUCGUGAGCCCCCUUGCAUGUACCAUCAGAAAAAGGACCGGCUAAUUCCGUG
rnacentral:rRNA from 1 species